CAGUAGCCGCGGUAAUACGUAGGUGGCAAGCGUUGUCCGGAAUUAUUGGGCGUAAAGGGCUCGCAGGCGGUUUCUUAAGUCUGAUGUGAAAGCCCCCGGCUCAACCGGGGAGGGUCAUUGGAAACUGGGAAACUUGAGUGGAGAAGAGGAGAGUGGAAUUCCACGUGUAGCGGUGAAAUGCGCAGAGAUGUGGAGGAACACCAGUGGCGAAGGCGACUCUCUGGUCUGUAACUGACGCUGAGGAGCGAAAGCGUGGGGAGCGAACAGGAUUAGAUACCCGAGUAGUCCCUGUCUCUUAUAC
rnacentral:rRNA from 1 species